rnacentral:rRNA from 1 species
UUCUGGCUCAGGAUGAACGCUAGCGGCAGGCUUAACACAUGCAAGUCGAGGGGCAGCGGGAUGUAGCAAUACAUUGCCGGCGACCGGCGGAUGGGUGCGUAACGCGUAUGCAACCUACCUUAUACAGGGGAAUAACCUUUCGAAAGGGAGACUAACACCCCAUAGUAUUGAUUUAAGGCAUCUUAGAUUAAUUAAAUAUUUAUAGGUAUAAGAUGGGCAUGCGUAUGAUUAGCUAGUUGGUAAGGUAACGGCUUACCAAGGCGACGAUCAUUAGGGGUUCUGAGAGGAAGGUCCCCCACACUGGUACUGAGACACGGACCAGACUCCUACGGGAGGCAGCAGUGAGGAAUAUUGGUCAAUGGGCGCAAGCCUGAACCAGCCAUGCCGCGUGCCAGGAAGACGGCCUUAUGGGUUGUAAACUGCUUUUACGUAAGACUAACCGUAUAUUUGCGAAUAUACCUGAAUGUAUUAUGAGAAUAAGGAUCGGCUAACUCCGUGCCAGCAGCCGC